rnacentral:lncRNA from 1 species
AGAGAUUUGAAGAUGCUACAGCUGGUGGCUUUUAAGGUGGAGGAAAGGGCCUCGGACCAAGGAAUGCCGGCCUGUUGUUGUAGUUAGUGCCCCCUAGUCAAUUCUGACUCCUAGUGACCCUGUGUACAGCAGAGCUGAAGCCUGCAUGGUCUUUUUGUGCCAUCCCUCUCACCUUCCAGCUCUAUAUCAGACAAUGUUCUGCUGCUAUCCAUAAGGUUUUCAUGGCCACUUUUUUCAAACGUGGGUGGCCAGGUCCUUCUUCCUACUCUAGCUCAGUCUAGAAACUCAACUGAAAUCUGAAACCUGUACUGGUAGCAUAGCUUUCAGCAACACACGGCUGCCACAGUAUGACAGCCCACAGAUGAGUAGUGUGACUCCCUGACUGGGAAAUGAAAACCCAGCUGUGGCGAUGAGACUGCUGAAUCUUAACCACCAGACCAUUAGGACUGGCAGGCAACCUGUAGAAGCUGGAAAAUGCAAGGAAACUGAUUCUCCUGUAGAGCCUCCAGAAGGAAUUCCACCUGGCUGACACCUUGAUUUUAGCCCAGGAAGACCCAUUCCGGCUUUCUGACCUCCACAACUGCGAGAAGAUAAACAGGAAACUGAGGCUCAAUGAAGAGAAGUGAUUUGCACAAGGUCAACUAAUAAAGCAUUAUGUGUCACUUCCAACUUUAAAGAGAAAUAGAAGCCACCAGGCUAGUGAACUUGGGCAAGAAGAAUGAGAAGAAAAAGAAAAGAAAUGAUGCAGGGAGACUGUCAAGCAAACCACCUCGUUCAUACAUUUUGCUAAGUUUGAUCAUCAACCUAUUACACAUAUCGUGGUUCCAUUUGGAGUAAAGAAGGGUCAUGUGGUAGGGUGAAAGAGAGGAGGGGAAUACUCUUCACCAUUAGUCUUUAUAUUUACCUAAUGCAAGCAGGGAGAGAUCCUGCAAUUUUUCAUAUUUCUUUUCUUAUGCCAUUGUUACGUCCCAUGCCUUGUCAUUUUUUGAGACUUAUGGGAGUGAAAUAAGACUAAAUAAAUUGUCUUCUAUAUUCCAUUCCCUACUUUUCAAAAAUCAGGAUCCCGUUAUUGAAAUACUAUCCAAUAGAGUGAUUCUAGAGUCUGCUUUUUGUAGUUUUACCAACGCUCAUUGCUGGGAAAUUCUUUUUUUGUCCAUCUUUAUUGCUUUCCUAUGACACUAGAUAGAAGCAUCAUAAAGCUUAACCAUUAUUGAUUUAUCUGAUAUAAAAUAAGAGUUGAAGUGUUCCCCCAAAUUUUGUCAAAAAGUCGUAUCUGCAUUCUUGCAAAGUAACACUGUCAGAAAUCACAUUCAGGUGUUCCACAUAGUGACUGCUGUUGUUG